GACGAACGCUGGCGGCGUGCUUAACACAUGCAAGUCGAGCGGAGCGCCGCACGGGGGAGUAACGCGUGAGUAACCGCCCCCCUCUCUGGGGUAACAGUUGGAAACGGCUGCUAAUAACGGACAGUGGGGGAUGACUCGCGUCCGUUCAGCUUGUUGGUGGGGUAGUGGCCUACCAAGGCGACGACGGGUAGCCGGCCUGAGCGGGCGACCGGCCAGAUUGGGCUGAGAUACGGCGCAAAAGUCUGCGGGAGGGAGCAGUGGGGAAUAGUGCACAAUGGGGGAAACCCGGAUGCAGCAACGCCGCGUGCGGGAUGACGGCCGUCGGGUUGUAAACCACGUUCAUCAAUGACGCGGUGGUGGCAGAAGAAGCACCGGCUGACUACGUGCCAGCAGCCGCGGUAAUAC
rnacentral:rRNA from 1 species